CCUACGGGAGGCUGCAGUGGGGAAUAUUGCACAAUGGGCGAAAGCCUGAUGCAGCAACGCCGCGUGAAGGAAGAAGGGUUUCGGCUCGUAAACUUCUAUUAACAGGGACGCAAGAAAUUACGGUACCUACAUAAGAAGCCCCGGCUACCUACGUUCCAGCAGCCGCGGUAAUACUUAGGGGGCAAGCGUCAUCCGGAAUUACUGGGUGUAAAGGGUCAGUAGGCGGCAUGGUAAGCCAGAUGUGAAAGGCGUGGGCUGAACCCGAGGAUUGCAUUUGGAACUAUCAAGCUAGAGUACAGGAGAGGAAAGCGGAAUUGCUGGUGUAGCGGUGAAAUGCGUAGAUAUUAGGAAGAACACCAGUGGCGAAGGCGGCUUUCUGGACUGAAACUGACGCUGAGGCACGAAAGCGUGGGGAGCGAACAGGAUUAGAUACCCUAGUAGUC
rnacentral:rRNA from 1 species